GCGAGAGUGGCGGAAUGGCAGACGCACUGGCCUUAGGAGCCAGCGGCCGCAAGGCCAUAGGGGUUCGAGUCCCCUCUCUCGCACCA
rnacentral:tRNA from 1 species